UACAGAGGUCUCAACCGUUGUUCGGAUUCAUUGGGCGUAAAGGGUGCGUAGGCGGUCGCGCAAGUCGGAUGUGAAAUCUCAGGGCUCAACCCUGAAACUGCAUUCGAUACUGCGUGGCUAGAGUGCUGGAGAGGAGACUGGAAUUUACGGUGUAGCAGUGAAAUGCGUAGAUAUCGUAAGGAAGACCAGUGGCGAAGGCGAGUCUCUGGACAGUUACUGACACUGAGGCACGAAGGCCAGGGGAGCAAACGGG
rnacentral:rRNA from 1 species